CCCUUAGAUGUUCUGGGCUGCACGCGCGCUACACUGAUGCGCUCAACGAGUUUUAACCUUGCCUGGAAAGGUUGGGUAAUCUUUUUAAAACGCAUCGUGAUGGGGAUAGAUUAUUGCAAUUAUUAAUCUUCAACGAGGAAUGCCUAGUAAGCGCAAGUCAUCAGCUUGCGUUGAUUACGUCCCUGCCCUUUGUACACACCGCCCGUCGCUCCUACCGAUUGAAUGGUCCGGUGAAGCGUUUGGACUAUGGUUUUCUGACGGUUCGCCAUUGGAUUACCGUGGGAAAUUCGUUAAACCUUAUCAUUUAGAGGAAGGAGAAGUCGUAACA
rnacentral:rRNA from 1 species